AGAGUUUGAUCCUGGCUCAGGACGAACGCUGGCGGCGUGCCUAAUACAUGCAAGUCGAGCGGAUUGAUGGGAGCUUGCUCCCUGAUAUUAGCGGCGGACGGGUGAGUAACACGUGGGUAACCUGCCUGUAAGAUUGGGAUAACUCCGGGAAACCGGAGCUAAUACCGGAUAAUAUGUUGAACCGCAUGGUUCAACAUUGAAAGAUGGCUUUUGCUAUCACUUACAGAUGGACCCGCGGCGCAUUAGCUAGUUGGUGAGGUAACGGCUCACCAAGGCGACGAUGCGUAGCCGACCUGAGAGGGUGAUCGGCCACACUGGGACUGAGACACGGCCCAGACUCCUACGGGAGGCAGCAGUAGGGAAUCUUCCGCAAUGGACGAAAGUCUGACGGAGCAACGCCGGCGUGAACGAUGAAGGCCUUCGGGUCGUAAAGUUCUGUUGUUAGGGAAGAACAAGUACCAGAGUAACUGCUGGUACCUUGACGGUACCUAACCAGAAAGCCACCGCUAACUACGUGCCAGCAGCCGCGGUAAUACGUAGGUGGCAAGCGUUGUCCGGAAUUAUUGGGCGUAAAGCGCGCGCAGGUGGUUUCUUAAGUCUGAUGUGAAAGCCCACGGCUCAACCCGUGGAGGGUCAUUGGAAACUGGGGAACUUGAGUGCAGAAGAGGAAAGUGGAAUUUCCAAGUGUAGCGGUGAAAUGCGUAGAGAUUUGGAGGAACACCAGUGGCGAARGCGACUUUCUGGUCUGUAACUGACACUGAGGCGCGAAAGCGUGGGGAGCGAACAGGAUUAGAUACCCUGGUAGUCCACGCCGUAAACGAUGUCGACUUGGAGGUUGUGCCCUUGAGGCGUGGCUUCCGGAGCUAACGCGUUAAGUCGACCGCCUGGGGAGUACGGCCGCAAGGUUAAAACUCAAAUGAAUUGACGGGGGCCCGCACAAGCGGUGGAGCAUGUGGUUUAAUUCGAUGCAACGCGAAGAACCUUACCUGGUCUUGACAUCCACGGAAGUUUUCAGAGAUGAGAAUGUGCCUUCGGGAACCGUGAGACAGGUGCUGCAUGGCUGUCGUCAGCUCGUGUUGUGAAAUGUUGGGUUAAGUCCCGCAACGAGCGCAACCCUUAUCCUUUGUUGCCAGCGGUCCGGCCGGGAACCUCAAAGGAGAACUGCCAGUGAUAAACUGGAGGAAGGUGGGGAUGACGUCAGGUCAUCAUGGCCCUUACGACCAGGGCUACACACGUGCUACAAUGGCGCAUACAAAGAGAAGCGACCUCGCGAGAGCAAGCGGACCUCAUAAAGUGCGUCGUAGUCCGGAUUGGAGUCUGCAACUCGACUCCAUGAAGUCGGAAUCGCUAGUAAUCGUGGAUCAGAAUGCCACGGUGAAUACGUUCCCGGGCCUUGUACACACCGCCCGUCACACCAUGGGAGUGGGUUGCAAAAGAAGUAGGUAGCUUAACCUUCGGGAGGGCGCUUACCACUUUGUGAUUCAUGACUGGGGUGAAGUCGUAACAAGGUAACCGUA
rnacentral:rRNA from 1 species